CUUUGCUCCCUCGGGGUGAGGUGUGGUUUUGGCCAAAGAUGAGGUGUUUUGGUAGCCCUGUGGAUGCUGUGUGGUGUCUGGAAUGGGGCGUGUGUGUUCCCAACAUUCCCCUUCCCCUCUGCCUGCAGAGCUGAGGACGGACAGGUCUGAGGAGCAGAGCAGGAGCUCUGGGAAGGAGAAGAGUAAUAUGAAGAUGGAGUCUAAGAUGAGGCCAGGUGAAUUCUGUGGAGGGAGACAUGCUGGACAGCGCCAAGGAUUGGUGAGACAACCAGCAAGGGAAAAGAAGUGGGGGAGACGGAGUCCAGCCCUGAGGUGAGAUGGAAAGUGAUCGAGAGCAGUGACAGCGUGAAUCCUGUUGAUGCCAGGCAAGAGCUGCCCAACUGGAACAAGAGUAACCAUCUCUGUCGAAAUAUGUUAUGAGGUUGGGAAAUGCCCCCCACCAGCCUUUCAGGUGCAAAAAUGGAGGAGCCAGACUUACUGCUGGCCCAUUAAAGGUGGCUACAGUCCCAAGGACUAUCCCAGGAACCUUGUACAAUGCAGACUUCACCGAGAUAACACAGCA